CCUACGGGGGGCAGCAGUGAGGAAUAUUGGUCAAUGGACGCAAGUCUGAACCAGCCAUGCCGCGUGCAGGAAGACGGCUCUAUGAGUUGUAAACUGCUUUUGUACGAGGGUAAACGCAGAUACGCGUAUCUGUCUGAAAGUAUCGUACGAAUAAGGAUCGGCCAACUCCGUGCCAGCAGCCGCGGUAAUACGGAGGAUUCAAGCGUUAUCCGGAUUUAUUGGGUUUAAAGGGUGCGUAGGCGGUCGGAUAAGUUAGAGGUGAAAUCCCGAGGCUCAACUUCGGAAUUGCCUGUGAUACUGUGCGGCUAGAGAGUAGUUGCGGUAGGCGGAAUGUAUGGUGUAGCGGUGAAAUGCUUAGAGAUCAUACAGAACACCGAUUGCGAAGGCAGCUUACCAAGCUACUUCUGACGUUGAGGCACGAAAGCGUGGGGAGCAAACAGGAUUAGAUACCCCAGUAGUC
rnacentral:rRNA from 1 species